rnacentral:rRNA from 1 species
UACGAAGGGUGCAAGCGUUACUCGGAAUUACUGGGCGUAAAGCGUGCGUAGGUGGUUCGUUAAGUCUGAUGUGAAAGCCCCGGGCUUAACCUGGGAACAGCCUUUCAGACUGGUUAGCUAGAGUACAGUAGAGGGUGGUGGAAUUUCCGGUGUAGCGGUGAAAUGCGUAGAGAUCGGAAGGAACAUCAGUGGCGAAGGCGACCACCUGGACUGACACUGACGCUGAGGCGCGAAAGCGUGGGUAGCAAACAGG